rnacentral:lncRNA from 1 species
GUCAUUCAACAUUUAUUCAACCAAAAAUACUAAGUCAGCUCUAUACAAACUAAUGGAAGGAUACAGCUAUGCAAAUAUAGAACACUAAAGUGUUACAUGACAGAUGUAUGAGUAGUGAAAUGGUGAAAAAUCAGACAAUGGUCACAGAGUUCCUCCUACUGGGAUUUCUCCUGGGCCCAAGGAUUCAGAUGCUCCUCUUUGGGCUCUUCUCCCUGUUCUAUGUCUUCACCCUGCUGGGGAAUGGGACCAUCCUGGGGCUCAUCUCACUGGACUCCAGACUCCACACCCCCAUGUACUUCUUCCUCUCACACCUGGCCGUCGUCAACAUCGCCUAUG